AUAUCCACACCAUGUCUGCUUUAUCCAAUCAUCUGUUGAUGGACAGUUAGUGGAUCCAGCCAUUCUUGACCUUGUCCUCAGUCAGCUGGAAGGGGCCGGGGAUGACCUUACGAGAAAGGAGAGAGCGUGGGAGCUCAGACUCACAGCCUGUGUGAUGCAAACAAUGCUGAGUUCUGUCCACCAGUUAGUGCGUGCGGGCAGUAUUCCAAGUUCUCCACUUACGUCAACUUCCUGAAUCUUUACAACAAACUUGUGAGCCUGUGAAAUCAUUGUCUCUACUUCAUAGAUGGAGAAACUGAGCCACAGAGUUUCAGCUGCCAAUGGGUACGCACAUCACAAACGGCCAAACCAGGAUGCACACUUGGGCAGUCUGGCCCCACGUGCUGGACCAUUGCACUUGGGUGAUUCUUCCUGCCCUUGGAGUUGGUUCAUUAGGGUGAUGAGGUAUCUGUGCACCUGCUAGGGUGCGGGCCACUGUUUUGGGCAGAGUGAACACAGCAGCGUCAAAACAGACCCAAGAUCUGCCUUCAUGGUAUAGACAAUGAACAACAAAGGAGAUGCUACGAUUUUCAGCUAGUGGUAAAACCAUGGAGCCCUGAGGAAAGUUCAAUGAGGAAUCUGAUCAUAACAAAGUCAGCAACCCAUGACCCCAAAUCAAACCACCUGCUUGUGCUGCCGGCGAUUAGGUUCUUGCUUCAAGGGAGGAAUUCAGAGAUAAGACCCGGAGGUUAAGAAAAUAAAGUGAAGAUUUAUUAAGGGAUGGAUAGGACCAUUUCAUGGGGAGAGUGGGCAGACUCAGAACCUUCUGGAGAAGGAAUUUCCUCCCUCGUUUGGGAAAAGAAGCUGUCAGCAUCGGCGUCCUGCAGGCGUGGUCAGCAGGUCCCGCUGGUGCACAGCCGAGGCAGCAUCUCCCUUGUGAACAGGACCCCAAAACAUCUCCGUGCCACACGCAGGGUAGAAAAACAAAGGACAGCGUACAGCACCCAUUCGCUUCUAAGAGUCUGGCAGAGAACUGGACGUCACAUAAACCAUCAGCCAUGGGAAAGCACAAGAUCUCUCCCAGUCCCAGACGCCCUCCCUCAGAACAACAGGAAAAGAUAGUCAAAAUGCUCUGGAUUCAGAAAAAAGGAGAAAUAAUUGUAUGUUUCAUGAUGUUGUUGGAAAUCUUCUAAAUACUAGUUUAAAUAUUAAUGGUCCUGAUUUUUACAAUCCCACCAGUGAUUUCUGAAGCAACAUUAAUACCUCUAAUUCAAAACUAAGUUUAAUUCUGGCAAAUAGGUGUGUGUGUGUGCACAGGUAGACAGAGGGAUAGAGAAAUAGAUUUAGGUGUCAUCUUGCAAAAUCAAUGCAAUUGAAGUUGGGAUAUUUAUAAACCGUGAAAGGUGGGGAAAGUCUAACGAGUAUUUGAAAACUAGCCAACUGCCUGGUUAGUUAAAAAUAAUCCCUUUGCCUCUCCUGUAGCCUCAAUUGAAUAGGUUCAUUUAUAGAAUAAAAAGCGGAUUGAACGAGUUCAAAGCCGCAAGCGGCCAUUCUUUCCAGCCCGAAGACUUUCUCCAGUAGAUAAUUCAGGUCAAAGUGGCAGCAGGGGGAUGUCUCUGGAAAGAUAAAAUUAGAUUUUCUUGUCACUGCUCCUCAAAAUGGGGGGGGGUAUACGGUAUUUCGUUUUUUCCAUCACAGAGUCCAGGAGUAGACAGCGGCAUUAGUGGUCCUGAAAAAUGCCACAAGCAAUUUUAUUAUUUUCUUAAAUGCUUCUGAAACAACAGGUGAGGAUGUUGAAGGGCAGGUGUCCUGCAAGGCGGGCGAUGCUACGAGACUGCUGGUGUUGCCUUUAGCAAUCUGUUGCCGUGGCGGGUUCCGCCUUCCCUCUGACCUGGGCGGAAGUGGGAGGCGAAUCGACCCGCGCGGUGGUUUCAGCCCCAGAGCGUGUGGCCCGGUGGCAGAGUCAUGCAGACGGACACGCCUCUGGUGACGACGGGAAAGAGGCAGGGGGAGCCUGUCUGACUCCCACGGAAGCACGAUGUCCCGGAUGCUAACACAGCCUGUGCGGCCGGAGGGGUAGCUCCUCCCUUGGCAUAAGCCCCGUGGCCAGCGGUCCACGAGGGAACGGGAAACGGAACCUGCAGCCCCGUGGCCGCUCCCUGCCCCGCGAGGGCCUGCUCCUCCCUCCCUCCGACUCCAGGCUUAGAGCGAAUCCCCAGUUGGCACCAUCUCCAAGGAUACCGACCUCUGUCCAAAGCAUAUUCAAAAGGGGCUUCACACUUGGUUUUCCUUUGUUUUAUUCUUACGAAACACAACACAAAGGACAGCUCUGUCCAAUUCUGGUAGCGUUUACUUCCGGUUCCACAUCAGGAACCCUUUCAAUUUGGAAUGACUGCUUAAUCUUAAAUCCCUCGAAUGUGUUUUGAUCCAAAAUUCAAUCACACUGAGAAUGCUCCCUGUGCCAUGUGGCCUUGUGUGUCAAUCCCUCCUCGUGGAUGAAGUGUGGAUCAGCGCCCUGUCACACAUCGCACCAAGGACGCGGGUAGUCUGGGAGGAGGCACCGUUGAGGCCAUUUCUCUCUCAGAUACAAAAAUGGAUUUUACAAGAAAAGCAGAGGUGCUCUGAGAGCUCGCAGCUCAUCACUGCAUCUCGUAUCAGCUGAGAACAGGUGCUCUGUGCUGUCUCUUCCCUGGAAGACGGAAACACAUAUUUAGCUUUUAAGAGUAAAUACAAAUUACUUGGCUUUGUAGUACACGAACCUAAAACAAGACGUGUGAAGGGAAGAGGUGCGGUUGGGAUUUGUUGGGGGCAAUCAGAUCCUAGACACAGAGGGAAAUUUAAGAUUGAGACCAUGAAUUUCACCCAGGAAGUACAUUUUGCGCUGCGUUCUUUACCCCAGAAACAAGGCACCUGGGGACAGAGUGGCCUGUUAGAUUCUUUCAACUACUGUCAUUGUCAAGGGGAGCGGACCACCUCCUGUAAACCUCUAGCCAUCACUUCGAAUGUCCACGUUCUGCCCAGUGUCCUCUUCCCGGGGCUCGCCCAGCGGGUGCUGUCCGUGGCACUUUGCUUAAAGUCCCAAAUUCCACAGACAUCGUGGUGUAGAGGAGGUAGAAGUCUGUAUGUUUGAAUAUAAAGUUCAAGCUUACCUUAAGUGUUGCUUGAAAUCCUUUACUGGCCAACAAGGCCCUUAAGGAAAGUUACUGCAGUUGAACUAGGAAUUUCCUCUUCUCAGACACAAGCAUCCCCAGAAGAAAUAAAAUACUUUUCUUCCGUUAUCAGUAAUAUGCAAUGUGAGUGUAAGUUUAAUCCAGAGAUUAAAAAAAACCUGGAAUCUUGAAAUAGACCCUGCUGACAGGAUGUGGUGGCAUUUUGGUGGUGGUUGCUGUUUUAGAUGGGUGGAAUUA